AGGAGGAAGACAUUGUGAGAGUCUCUUAUCCACACAGACCUUCCCAGAUGCUCCAAACAGUGACAUUAGUGCUGACUCUGAAAGAACUUGUCUGCUCAUCCAUCAGCUCUAAGAAGAGGAGCCACAGCCCUGAAUUUGAACUUGGAUGGCAGUGAAUUUUAAAGGCUGACUAAAAAUGAAGAGGAAGGACACUGAAGUACUGAGAAGGAGGAUAGCAUUUGGUGAAGAAGAUGAAAUUAAACUUGACAUUUUUUGGAUAGGUAUCAAGCUGUAGUGAUUUUCAUUUCAAGAGGCUGAUGUAAGUAUGUGUGCUAGAGAGUAGCUGGGCAUCUCUUAAAACAUGAAUGGAAGAGGGAGUGGGCAACAGAUAGCAAACAAUAAUAAAGCCUGCAGGACAGAUGUAGGAGGAAAGGACCUUUACAACAAAGACAAAGGCAACAGAAGACAAGGCAGUGAAAGAAUGUGUUACUUGGGCAGAGUAAUUUUUCUAACUCAUUUUCUCUGGAUGGCACGUCAUCACAGGAUAAGAGGGGAGGAAUUUCUGUACAAAGGGAAAAUGUUUUAAGAAGCACAAAAGAUGAUCUUUGGUUUGGCAAAACCAUAUGUCAGAUUCUUUUUUCAGGAUUUCCCCCCUCCAGUGAACCCCUUGGGUUAACUCCAUGUAUUAUAUCUCUCCCUUUUUAAUUGACAGCUCUAUGGCUCUGUGAACAGAGACCAUAUUCUGUGCUGUUCCUUCUGGGCCUGAUCUUAUACCACCAAGGAAAAUGUAAGCCUUGCCAUUGACUUAAACAGGUAAAGAAUCAGGCUCUUAAUGCAGUAAUGAAAAUAUA